GAUGAACGCUGGCGGCGUGCCUAAUACAUGCAAGUCGAGCGAACAGACGAUGAGCUUGCUCCUCUGACGUUAGCGGCGGACGAGUGAGUAACACGUGGAUAACCUACCUAUAAGACUGGGAUAACUUCGGGAAACCUGAGGUAAUACCGGAUAAUAUAUUGAACCGCAUGGUUCAAUAGUGAAAGACGGUUGUGCUGUCACUUAUAGAUGGAUCCGCGCCGCAUUAGCUAGUUGGUAAGGUAACGGCUUACCAAGGCAACGAUGCGUAGGCGACCUGAGAGGGGGAUCGGCCACCCGGGAACUGAGCCACGGUCCAGACUACUACGGGAGGCAGCAGUAGGGAAUGUUCCGCAAUGGGCGAAAGCAUGACGGAGCAACGCCGAGUGAGUGAUGAAGGUCUUCGGAUCGUAAAACUCUGUUAUUAGGGAAGAACAAAUGUGUAAGUAAAUAUGCACGUCUUGACGGUACCUAAUCAGAAAGCCACGGCUAACUACGUG
rnacentral:rRNA from 1 species